GUUCCGUAGGUGAACCCGCGGAAGGAUCAUUCAUAAUAAAGUGUUUUAUGGCACUUUUUAAAAAUCCAUAUCCACCUUGUGUGCAAUGUUAGAUCUCGUCAAUCUUGGCGAGAUUUUUAUACAUCAACUCAUUCUUUAACUAAUUUGUCUGAAAAAUAUUAUGAAUACUUAAUUCAAAAUACAACUUUCAACAACGGAUCUCUUGGCUCUC
rnacentral:misc_RNA from 1 species